rnacentral:lncRNA from 1 species
UCUUUCAAGUUUUUCAAAGGUAAGUAAUCAUUUUCUGAAGUAAAGCUUUUAAUCAACAAUGGUGUUUCCAUAUGAGUGAGUUUCUACUUUGAUCCAGAAAUACCAAUAAGUCUCACUUUUUUAUAGUACUAAAUUUUUUAUGAACUUCUCUAGCAACAACCAAGACCACGUGGUAGAUAUUAUAUUAUUUUGUGUAAGAUUUUGUUGAUUGGGAAGUGUAAUUUGACAUUAUUUAUUUAUUCGUGUUAACCACUGGUUAAGGAAAUUAAAAAAAGAAAAUUUUAAAAUAAAAAUAACACUUUUUAUAUUUUUAAAAAAUUAACAACAUAAAUUCUAAUGUAAAACUUACUGCGUUUGAAUCCUUACCCUUAUUUAUUUUGUUUGCAUGUGAUGUGAUUGAUAUAUUUUUGUGACAAAAAAGUGGAGUGGGACAUGUCUUUUAAUAUCUUUUGCAAAUUUAUGUAAGGAUGAUGAAUGCCAGCCACAUAUUUAUGAAAGAAUAAACUGUCAAUUUAAUUUAUUCCUAAAACUAUUAAAAUCAAUUAAUGUGUCUCUAUACUAUGAAAAAGAUCAUCAAUUUAAUUCUUAAACUAUUAUAGAAAACAACGAAUUUUGUUAAAUAAAAUAACAAAAUGGUUAGAUGAGAUAUUAGUUAUAAAAUAUCUAUUGAGUAGUCUCAUAUCAAUGAACAUAAUAUGAAAAAACUUUGUUGAGAAUGAAGCACCAAUGUGUUUGAUGUUGAUAAGGAUGGAUCAAUUUUGUGAGAGUGGUAAAAUUGAUGGAGCAAAAUUGCAAUUAAAGGCUACAUUUAGCCAAUAUCAAAAUAAGGUCUUUAAUUAGAUUUUAUACAAAUAAACAAUUUUUGAAUAAAAAAAUGCACUGAUCAUGUGUGUAAAAUUAAAUAAAAUUUGAUCCGGUUGGAAUGAGGAAGAUUGUUUGUAGGGUGAUAUAUGGUCUGUAGUGGGAUUGAGCUUUACAUCGUCCAUUCGUGAUCAUGCACUGAUCAUGCACGUGCUUCAACGCCUAAGUCGGUCAGUGGUUCAAAAGAGAGUGCUACCAUAACUGAUCUGGUUGGACCGGAGAAUAUGGUUUGUUGGGUGAGAUUAUUGUGUAGUGGGAUUGAGGGGAAGACAUUGGCUCCAGCAGAUCCAGAUAUGUGUUAGGUUUAUAAAAAGAUUCUCAAUUAAAUUAUUGAUGCAUUGCGUAGAGAGAUGAAGAAAAUGAGGUCUGAUUAUGAGGAUACUUCUGAGCAUACCAUCUUACAGCGAGGUAGGUUGCAUUUAAUACGAAGGUUACCGCCUUCUUUGUCGCAUUUGGAUGGUUUAAAUUAAGAGGUUUUGGCAUUGAGUUAUCCUGGUAUUGUUGGACAAUGUUACCCUGGUGUGAAGAUAGAACACAAUUAUUGAUUGUCUUUGCAAAGAGAAACUUGUAGAUGAUGUGAUUGAUUUAUAUUUUGAGAUGGUUCUCAAGAGAAUUAUGCAUUAAUGUCAUUUAAACUGCAAAACAAUUUAUACACUAAUGCAAUUUUUAUAAUCAUUACUUUAAACAAUUCAAGAGCUGGAGAAGUAAAAAAUAAUUGUUAUGCAGUUUCCUAGUACACUGAUACUCUUAUAGUUAUCUGUCUUUUGUCAUUUUGUAUCUCUUUUGGUGUUUCAUCCUUCAAGACUCGCGCCAUAGUAGUCGUUGCUUGAUCAAAGUUUGCGACAAUUACAACAAUGAGGCUAAAGCAAUUGAUGAUUUAUGUCAAGUGCCCUCAUUAGUAUAUCAAUCGGAUAUGAAGGAUCGGAAGCUACCCAAUAUGCAAGGUUCUUCUCUUCCUUAAUAGCUUGCUUCUUCUUCUUUUUCAUAUUACGAGGGUUUCUUCUGUUUUAACUACUCCUUUCAGAAAUGCUUAUAUUGUUAAAAUCGGAAUUGAAUGAGGUUGUGUAUCUUGAACUUCCACUUACAUUAGAGUUGUGUAUUGUUUCUUUUCCGAUUGAAGUUCCAAAUGGUUAUGAUGCAUAUGGAGAAACUUUGUGAGGACAUAAAUUCCCUUAUCAUUUAUAGUUUG